rnacentral:rRNA from 1 species
CGUGCGGCAUCUUACACAUGCAAGUCGAACGGCAGCGCGGGAGCAAUCCUGGCGGCGAGUGGCGAACGGGUGAGUAAUACAUCGGAACGUGCCCAAUCGUGGGGGAUAACGCAGCGAAAGCUGUGCUAAUACCGCAUACGAUCUACGGAUGAAAGCAGGGGAUCGCAAGACCUUGCGCGAAUGGAGCGGCCGAUGGCAGAUUAGGUAGUUGGUGAGGUAAAGGCUCACCAAGCCUUCGAUCUGUAGCUGGUCUGAGAGGACGACCAGCCACACUGGGACUGAGACACGGCCCAGACUCCUACGGGAGGCAGCAGUGGGGAAUUUUGGACAAUGGGCGAAAGCCUGAUCCAGCCAUGCCGCGUGCAGGAUGAAGGCCUUCGGGUUGUAAACUGCUUUUGUACGGAACGAAACGGCCUUUUCUAAUAAAGAGGGCUAAUGACGGUACCGUAAGAAUAAGCACCGGCUAACUACGUGCCAGCAGCCCGCGGUAAUACGUAGGGUGCAAGCGUUAAU